rnacentral:lncRNA from 12 species
GGAGCUGCAGGAAGUGGACUUGGUGCUCAAACCCUAAGGAAGGCUUGGAUUUGGGCCAGCUGGCCUGUGGCCUCAUGGAAAGCAGAACAGAGCCUCAGAGCAGCAAUAGCCUGGAAGUGCAUGCCAGCAUUUAGGGCUCAUCUACCUUCUCUUGAAACUUCAGAAGAUGAACCCAAAGCAGACUGUUUCUCCUCCUGCAGCAGUUGGCUGGCGCUGUUCCCUUGGAUGGGACAUGUGUUUUCUGCUCACUGGUCCUCACCAGUCUGCUUCUCUGGAAUGUGACCCUGGGUUUGAGUCACAGGUUAUCAGUCCAUGUGGGAAACUGACAGCAGAAGGGUUCAUGGGAUGUGCCUGGAGUUCUACGAGGUGGGGGUGGGGUGGGGUGGGGGGAGGGACCCUGGUCCCAGCCCAUAUCCCUGCUUCUCCAAGUUCUGAUGAGGCUCAUCUGUGGGAUGUCCUGAGUCAGGACAGAGUUCUCCUCUCUCCUGUAAACUCGAAUGGAAAAGACAGGUUGUGGUUGGGAUGA